AGCCCGCCCAUUAAUUCUUCAUCCCUUAAAUUCUUCAUCCCUUAUAACCUUCCUCUGCUCUCUCCUAUUUUCUCCCAAACAAUCCUCCCGUACGUUCAGGGAUAUCCAAAUCAUUUGUUUCCCUCUCUGUAUUUGUCCCUCAUCCUUUUAGAUUGUAAGCCUGUUUAGGCAGGGCCCUCUUCACUUACUAUCCCCGAAUGCCAGAUAUGUUUUGUCAGAAUUAUUUGUUAGUCUUGGUUUAUCAAUCGCGCAUAGCAGCUGAUUAUGUUG